rnacentral:rRNA from 1 species
GAUGAACGCUGGCGGCGUGCCUAAUACAUGCAAGUCGAGCGAACAGACGAGGAGCUUGCUCCUCUGACGUUAGCGGCGGACGGGUGAGUAACACGUGGAUAACCUACCUAUAAGACUGGGAUAACUUCGGGAAACCGGAGCUAAUACCGGAUGAUAUAUUGAACCGCAUGGUUCAAUAGUGAAAGACGGUUUUGCUGUCACUUAUAGAUGGAUCCGCGCCGCAUUAGCUAGUUGGUAAGGUAACGGCUUACCUAGGCAACGAUGCGUAGCCGACCUGAGAGAGUGAUCGGCCACACUGGAACUGAGACACGGGCCAGACUCCUACGGGAGGCAGCAGUAGGGAAUCUUCCGCAAUGGGCGAAAGCCUGACGGAGCAACGCCGCGUGAGUGAUGGAGGUCUUCGGAUCGUAAAACUCUGUUAUUAGGGAAGAACAAAUGUGUAAGUAACUAUGCACGUCUUGACGGUACCUAAUCAGAAAGCCACGGCUAACUACGUGCCAGCCGCCGCAGUAA